ACUAUGGAGAGUUUGAUCCUGGCUCAGGAUGAACGCUAGCGGGAGGCUUAAUACAUGCAAGUCGAGCGGGAUCCACCUUUCGGGGUGGUGAGAGCGGCGAACGGGUGAGUAACGCGUACGCAACCUACCUUCAAAAGGGGAAUAGCCCUGGGAAACUGGGAUUAAUACCCCAUAGUAUUACAAUGCUGCAUGGUAUUGUGAUUAAAGUUGAGGCGUUUGAAGAUGGGCGUGCGUCUGAUUAGCUAGUUGGUAGGGUAACGGCCUACCAAGGCGACGAUCAGUAGGGGGCGUGAGAGCGUGGCCCCCCACACGGGUACUGAGACACGGACCCGACUCCUACGGGAGGCAGCAGUAAGGAAUAUUGGACAAUGGGCGCAAGCCUGAUCCAGC
rnacentral:rRNA from 1 species